rnacentral:rRNA from 1 species
UACGUAGGGUGCAAGCGUUGUCCGGAAUUACUGGCGUAAAGGGCUCGUAGGUGGCCAACUAAGUCAGACGUGAAAUUCCUCGGCUUAACCGGGGAACUGCGUCUGAUACUGGAUGGCUUGAGUUCGGGAGAGGGAUGCGGAAUUCCAGGUGUAGCGGUGAAAUGCGUAGAUAUCUGGAGGAACACCGGUGGCGAAGGCGGCAUCCGUGGACCGACACUGACACUGAGGAGCGAAAGCCAGGGGAGCAAACGGG